UGUGAUUGUGAGGGACCAGGACCCCGAACUCUCCAGCUUCAAGCGCACAGACCUUCACCCUACAGAGGCUGUAUGGAAGCAGGAGGCCCCGUGGACCCAUGGCCAUCACUCAGACCAACAUUAGGCUUAAUGCUUUCAAAGUGCCUUGCAUGACGUUCCGCCAAGCCUUUGGGACCUAUGGAUCAUUAGUAUUUUACCCUUCCACAAAGUCAGCCUACAAAUGUGUAAGCUAUGGUGGUAUUUUCUUGGAGGGUGGCCAUGUGACUGCUGAGAAUAGAACAAGACCACUAAUCGUGAUCCUACAUAGGCAUAAGACACUGCAUCAUCUUAGAAGGAGAAUCGCUGAGGAGAAGGUGCAAAAGAGUUAAAUGGCAGCUCUUGGUGGAAGGCUGAGCUCAGGACCCACGUGUGCUGGAAGGAGACUGUAAGUUGGUUCUAAUAAAACAUGAGAAAUCGAGGUUAGAACAUCAGACAGGAAUUCUUCAGGAUUAAAGGUAAAAAUAAACCAGGCCAUGCUAGCAGAUUUAUGCAGGACUGCAGAAGUUCCUAUCUGCCUAUCUGUCUGUCUGGGUAUUUGCAUUGCACCUGGAGCCCUCCUGGGUUCCUCACUGACACUGAGCUCCCACACAGCACCAUCUCAGGGCACUUGCCUUCCUCCUUAUGCAGUUGAUUUGGAGAUUUCAGUCCUGGCAGACUGCUGGCAUGUUAUACAUGUCUUUCAUUG
rnacentral:lncRNA from 1 species